AAGAAAUGUGUUUGAAUAGUUUCCACAUUGAAACUAAGGGUGAAGGGAACAAAGGAUUCCCAUAUAUUACUAAGAGCAUCCAAGACCAUGAGAAGGUCUUACAGACUAUACCCGCGUCAUAUAUCUUUACUAUGCCAAGGUCAAUAUGAUAAAGGCUAAUAAAGUAAACAAAAGGGUUUACUGAGAAAUUCACUAAUGGCAUGACCGGCUUGGCCAGCCCGGUUCGAAUAUGAUGCGUAAAU
rnacentral:lncRNA from 1 species